GACGAACGCUGGCGGCGUGCUUAACACAUGCAAGUCGAGCGGUAAGGCCCUUUCGGGGGUACACGAGCGGCGAACGGGUGAGUAACACGUGGGUGACCUGCCCUCAGCUCUGGGAUAAGCCUGGGAAACCGGGUCUAAUACUGGAUAUGACUCCAUGACGCAUGUUGUGGGGUGGAAAGCCUUGUGCGGCUGAGGAUGGGGCCCGCGGCCUAUCAGCUUGUUGGUGGGGUGANGGCCUACCAAGGCGACGACGGUAGCCGGCCUGAGAGGGCGACCGGCCACACUGGGACUGAGACACGGCCCAGACUCCUACGGGAGGCAGCAGUGGGGAAUCUUGCGCAAUGGGCGAAAGCCUGACGCAAGCGACGCCGCGUGAGGGAUGACGGCCUCGGUUGUAAC
rnacentral:rRNA from 1 species